AUGUGCUACGCGUACACCCCGGUUUCUGCGUGCCGUCCACAUCCGUCCGGCGACCGCGCGUUACGUUCUGUCAGUC
rnacentral:sRNA from 3 species